rnacentral:rRNA from 1 species
ACUCCUACGGGAGGCAGCAGUGGGGAAUAUUGCACAAUGGGCGCAAGCCUGAUGCAGCCAUGCCGCGUGUAUGAAGAAGGCCUUCGGGUUGUAAAGUACUUUCAGCAGUGAGGAAGGUAGGUACGUUAAUAGCGUGCUUGUUUGACGUUAGCUGCAGAAGAAGCACCGGCUAACUCCGUGCCAGCAGCCGCGGUAAUACGGAGGGUGCGAGCGUUAAUCGGAAUUACUGGGCGUAAAGCGCAUGCAGGUGGUUUGUUAAGUCAGAUGUGAAAGCCCGGGGCUCAACCUGGAAUUGCAUUUGAAACUGGCAGGCUAGAGUCUUGUAGAGGGGGGUAGAAUUUCAGGUGUAGCGGUGAAAUGCGUAGAGAUCUGAAGGAAUACCAGUGGCGAAGGCGGCCCCCUGGACAAAGACUGACGCUC